UGGCGGACGGGUGAGGAACACGUGGGUAACCUGCCCUUAAGUGGGGGAUAACAUUUGGAAACAGAUGCUAAUACCGCAUAGAUCCAAGAACCGCAUGGUUCUUGGCUGAAAGAUGGCGUAAGCUAUCGCUUUUGGAUGGACCCGCGGCGUAUUAGCUAGUUGGUGAGGUAAUGGCUCACCAAGGCGAUGAUACGUAGCCGAACUGAGAGGUUGAUCGGCCACAUUGGGACUGAGACACGGCCCAAACUCCUACGGGAGGCAGCAGUAGGGAAUCUUCCACAAUGGACGCAAGUCUGAUGGAGCAACGCCGCGUGAGUGAAGAAGGCUUUCGGGUCGUAAAACUCUGUUGUUGGAGAAGAAUGGUCGGCAGAGUAACUGUUGCCGGCGUGACGGUAUCCAACCAGAAAGCCACGGCUAACUACGUGCCAGCAGCCGCGGUAAUACGUAGGUGGCAAGCGUUAUCCGGAUUUAUUGGGCGUAAAGCGAGCGCAGGCGGUUUUUUAAGUCUGAUGUGAAAGCCCUCGGCUUAACCGAGGAAGCGCAUCGGAAACUGGGAAACUUGAGUGCAGAAGAGGACAGUGGAACUCCAUGUGUAGCGGUGAAAUGCGUAGAUAUAUGGAAGAACACCAGUGGCGAAGGCGGCUGUCUGGUCUGUAACUGACGCUGAGGCUCGAAAGCAUGGGUAGCGAACAGGAUUAGAUACCCUGGUAGUCCAUGCCGUAAACGAUGAAUGCUAGGU
rnacentral:rRNA from 1 species